rnacentral:rRNA from 1 species
UGGGGAAUAUUGCACAAUGGGCGCAAGCCUGAUGCAGCCAUGCCGCGUGUGUGAAGAAGGCCUUCGGGUUGUAAAGCACUUUCAGCGGGGAGGAAGGCGUUAAGGUUAAUAACCUUGGCGAUUGACGUUACCCGCAGAAGAAGCACCGGCUAACUCCGUGCCAGCAGCCGCGGUAAUACGGAGGGUGCAAGCGUUAAUCGGAAUUACUGGGCGUAAAGCGCACGCAGGCGGUCUGUCAAGUCGGAUGUGAAAUCCCCGGGCUCAACCUGGGAACUGCAUUCGAAACUGGCAGGCUAGAGUCUUGUAGAGGGGGUAGAAUUCCAGGUGUAGCGGUGAAAUGCGUAGAGAUCUGGAGGAAUACCGGUGGCGAAGGCGGCCCCCUGGACAAAGACUGACGCUCAGGUGCGAAAGCGUGGGGAGCAAACAGG